UACAGAGGUGGCAAGCGUUGUUCGGAAUUACUGGGCGUAAAGUGUGCGCAGGCGGCUUCGCAAGUCGAGUGUGAAAUCCCCGAGCUUAACUUGGGAAUUGCGCUCGAAACUACGGAGCUGGAGUGUGGCAGAGGAAGGUGGAAUUCCACGUGUAGCGGUGAAAUGCGUAGAGAUGUGGAGGAACACCGAUGGCGAAGGCAGCCUUCUGGGCCAACACUGACGCUCAUGCACGAAAGCGUGGGGAGCAAACAGG
rnacentral:rRNA from 1 species